GACGAACGCUGGCGGCGUGCUUAACACAUGCAAGUCGAACGGAAAGGCCCUGCUUGCAGGGUACUCGAGUGGCGAACGGGUGAGUAACACGUGGGUGAUCUGCCCUGCACUUCGGGAUAAGCUUGGGAAACUGGGUCUAAUACCGGAUAGGAACCAUCUUUAGUGUGGUGGUUGGAAAGUUUUUUCGGUGUAGGAUGAGCUCGCGGCCUAUCAGCUUGUUGGUGGGGUAAUGGCCUACCAAGGCGGCGACGGGUAGCCGGCCUGAGAGGGUGUACGGCCACAUUGGGACUGAGAUACGGACCAGACUCCUACGGGAGGCAGCAGUGGGGAAUAUUGCACAAUGGGCGCAAGCCUGAUGCAGCGACGCCGCGUGGGGGAUGAAGGCCUUCGGGUUGUAAACUCCUUUCGCUAGGGACGAAGCUUUGUUGUGACGGUACCUAGAUAAGAAGCACCGGCUAACUACGUG
rnacentral:rRNA from 1 species